rnacentral:lncRNA from 1 species
CCACUUAAAAUAUUUAGGACCAUUUAUUCUUUGUCUCCCACUUAAGUAAAACCUUUUCUUUUAAACCAUAAGCAGUGAGACCUAACAACAUUGCCCAAUGUGCUUUUAGGAUCACAAAAGAUCUUUCUUUUCUAGCCUCGGAAUAAGCCACUAUACACAUCUAGUCCAACUGUUUCUAGACAGAUGAAGAAGCAGGCCCCAGAGAGAGGAGGUGACUUGCUGGUCCAAGGGCAUCUGGUGACAAAGCUACAGCGGAGACCAGACAUCUAUGCCACCCAUUCUCUGCUCCUCCCUCGCCUCUGUCAUGGUCCCACCAUUCCUGUCUUCGUGGGAGAAACAGCAAUGUUUUCACAGAAUUCCCCUAUUCCAUAUACAAGUUACCACAGAAACUCCAAAUGUCCCCCACCCUUCCCUUUUUUUUUCUAAUUUUGUUUGUAUAGAUGAAUAUAUUUCAUGGCUCUCUAUGCUUACUUUUAUUCUAUUUAUCAAACACUGAGAUCAUGCUAACUGUAAUACGGUUUGCUAGAUAAUUUACAAAUAUUAAUUCAUUUAAUCCUCAGAGCAAACUUCUGAGAUAGAUGUCAUUACUUUCCCCCGUUCACAGACCAAGCACAGAGCAUUCGGGCAACUUGUCAACUCACGCAGCCAGUGGGAAGGACAGCAAGGAUCUAACUAGCCCAGGCUCUGGCUCCAGGGUGUCCCCUCUCGACCACCACGCUGCCUCUCUUGAAGGUUUGACUACUAAACGGAUCACAAGAAGUCUUACGUUAGCUAUAAAUAUCACCUGGCUCAAAGGGAAAGUAUACUUUCCACUGGAUUUGUUUUGACUGGCGCAUGCCCAGUAGGAUGUUCAUGAAGGGAUUCAUAGAUGCUUUCACGUAAUUAAAUACGAGAAUGUAAAGUUAGGGCAAUGUCCCCUGUCCUCUGCGUGUGCACAGGGAGAAUGAGAGAGCAAGCUCUCCGAUGUUUGUCCUAAGGGACACUAUUCUUAUCAGAUCAGGCCCCACCCUUAUGAACUUAUUUAGCCUUAAUUACUUCCUUACUCCAAACACAGUCACACUGAGAGUUACAGCUUCCAUAUAUGAGUCUGGGGGAGACAUCUAUCCAGUUUUGUGCUUUUUGUGGCACUUAAGAAUCACAUAAUUUCCAAGUUGGGAGUGACUUUUUUUUUUUUUUUAAAAAAAAGACAAACACUGAGAUCUCUCUGGUGUUUUGCUGCAGGGAGAUGAUUACUCACUGAUUUAUUAUUUUUAAAAUUCAGGGUGCAUGCUAAAAAAAAAAAAAGUGGUGCUGUUUUGAGAAAUGUUCUAUUCAGGAAUUUAAAGUCGUAAGUCUAAAAUCCAGAAGGUUAUCAGAAAAGAAAUCCAGAAAGUAAGAACGGUUAGAAAAACAUAAGACACUUUGUCCUGUGUUAAAAGUUGCAUCAACAAAUGGUGAAGUGGAAGGAAUGUAGCUAAAGGCAAAAAACAAAAAAAAACAAAAAAAAACAAAAACAAAGGCUGUGUGAAACAGGCCUUCAUCAGUGAUGUGGCUGCAGCCACUGUGGGUCCAUGGUUUCACGGGCCCCGCUUCCAGGAAUAAACUCCCCUCCUCUCCCCCUGUGCGACAUAAGAGGACCUCUCAGGUAACAGAGAACAAACCUUCGGAUGCUAAACAAAGCCUGUUCACAGGCAGCAGUCGAUGGCUUGAAACCCUCUCACAGAAAACAUUUGGUUGGCCUUUAGCGUAUCCACAAUGUGCAAUGUGUACUUUCCAGUAAAAGAGAUAUCGAAUGAGGGCAAAAUUAUAAAUGGUAUUUUCCUGCACAUGAUUAAGAGGCACAGUCACAGGAAGCUAUUCUCUCCGGAAAGAAUCGAAGACAGAUUAUUUAUCCCUUUCUUUUCUGUCUCCACUAAAGCUGGAGGUAAAAUAGGAGGGCGAUCAUUACACCUUGCAGUAAAGGAAGGGCCCCAGUUCUUCGGUUUCCGGAAUUCACACAGUAUGUGCGUGGGGUUCCUCCCAGGAGAGUGUGUUUUCUGCCUGCUGAGUGUGGAUUCUACCACGUGCCUUUUACUCUGACCAGUGGACUGUAAGGCUGCAUGAGGCACCAAAUGCGCUUGGGUAACUAGGCUCGCUCCCUUGUGUCUGUGCCAUGGCCCGGAAAAGGGCCUCCCCUAGAAGCUGCUGCCACGAAGCCCGAGCCCCAGAAGGAACGUGCAGAUGAGAACACUACCCUUCCCCUGGUGAGAAGUCAAGACCGGCUGGAUCCAGAGCCCAAAGCGAAGUCACCGGGCCAAGCUCACCUCGGCCCCCACAUCCCUACCCCACCCGACUCCACACAGCAACCUGAAGGUGACCAAGUGGUGAUGACGGUCCUUUUAGGCCGGAAGGCUCUGACCUACAUACAGCUUGUGACCCCAAAUCCAGCUGCCGCCUAACUCACCCACCAGCCAGCUACACAUGGAUCUUGAAUUUUAAAGGGUAGGAAGAAACGCCCGAAGAUGCCACGACAGGCAAAAAGUAUACGACAUUCAAAUGGCAAGGUCCAUAAAUAAAGUUUGACUGGAACGCGGCCACGUCCAUGCAUUUCUGGAUUGCCUGGGGCUGCUUCAGCCCAACAGUGGGAGAGCUGCAGAGUUGGG